UACAGAGGGGGCAAGCGUUAUUCGGAAUUAUUGGGCGUAAAGGGCGCGUAGGCGGCGAUUCAAGUGACGGGUGAAAUCCCUUGGCUUAACCGAGGAACUGCCUGUCAGACUGGGUUGCUUGAGACCGGGAGAGGCGAGUGGAAUUCCCAGUGUAGCGGUGAAAUGCGUAGAUAUUGGGAGGAACACCAGUGGCGAAGGCGGCUCGCUGGACCGGAACUGACGCUGAGGCGCGAAAGCGUGGGGAGCAAACAGG
rnacentral:rRNA from 1 species